GACGAACGCUGGCGGCGUGCUUAACACAUGCAAGUCGAACGGAAAGGCCUGCUUUCCCUUGUGGAUUGCGGGUACUCGAGUGGCGAACGGGUGAGUAACACGUGAGUGAUCUGCCCCCAACUUGGGUAUAAGCCUGGGAAACUGGGUCUAAUUCCCGAUAGGACUGCAGGGUGGUGCCUGUGGUGGAAAACGAUUUUCUAGUGGUUGGGGAUGAGCUCGCGGCCUAUCAGCUUGUUGGUGGGGUAAUGGCCUACCAAGGCGGCGACGGGUAGCCGGCCUGAGAGGGUGGACGGCGACAUUGGGACUGAGAUACGGCCCAGACUCCUACGGGAGGCAGCAGUGGGGAAUAUGGCAGAAUGGGCGGAAGCCUGAUGCAGCGACGCCGCGUGGGGGAUGACGGCCUUCGGGUUGUAAACUCCUUUCGACCGCGAGGAAGCCACCUGGUUGGAAGGGUGGUGACGGUAGUGGUAGAAGAAGCACCGGCUAACUACGUG
rnacentral:rRNA from 1 species